rnacentral:misc_RNA from 1 species
CGAAUGCGAUUAUUCUGUCUGAACGUGCAUUGUUUAUUUAAACAAAGUUUUAGAAAGUUGUGACGAUUGAAUUCAUUGAUUUAAAUGUGGGUCAUUAUUAUGUAGGCGAGAAAUCAUCCUUCAGACACGAAUCUCAUUGUCAGAGAUGCGCGUAACGCGUUACGUCUGACUUGUGACGGUCCUGUUCUACUUACGACCGUAAAAAUCAAUUCAGCUCGCGAUUAUUUAAAAGCGUCGAUGUCGACCGGAUGCAAGCUGACCAUCGACGUCGACCAAAGAGGUCAGAAAAGCGGUAGUACGAUAAUCUGCGUGACAGACACACAGCGAGA